rnacentral:rRNA from 1 species
UACGGAGGGUGCGAGCGUUGUCCGGAAUCACUGGGCGUAAAGGGCGCGUAGGCGGCCUGGCAAGUCGAUGGUGAAAGCCCGAGGCUCAACUUCGGGUCGGCCACUGAUACUGCUGGGCUUGAGUCGACUAGAGGCAGAUGGAAUUCCGGGUGUAGCGGUGGAAUGCGUAGAGAUCCGGAAGAACACCGGUGGCGAAGGCGGUCUGCUGGGGUCGAACUGACGCUGAGGCGCGACAGCGUGGGGGAGCAAACAGG